rnacentral:rRNA from 1 species
AGUCGACGCGAACGGAGGUCUUCGGAUCUCCUAUUAGAGUGGCGAACGGGUGCGUAACGCGUAGGCAAUCUGCCCUCGAGUGGGGAAUAAGCCCGGGAAACUGGGUCUAAUACCGCAUUCGGUCCGGAGGUCGCAUGGCCCCCGGAUUAAAGCCUUCGGGCGCUUGAGGAUGAACCUGCGUCCUAUUAGCUUGUUGGCGGGGUAACGGCCCACCAAGGCGACGAUGGGUAGCUGGUCUGAGAGGACGACCAGCCACACUGGGACUGAGAUACGGCCCAGACUCCUACGGGAGGCAGCAGUGAGGAAUAUUGCGCAAUGGAGGAAACUCUGACGCAGCGACGCCGCGUGUGCGAUGAAGCCUUUCGGGGUGUAAAGCACUGUUCUGAGGGAAGAAUGCCCCUAUUUAUAGGGGAAAGACGGUACCUUAGAAGAAAGCACCGGCUAACUCCGUGCCAGCAGCCGCGGUAAUACGGAGGGUGCAAGCGUUGUCCGGAUUUACUGGGCGUAAAGGGCGUGUAGGCGGGGCGGUAAGUCGUUGGUGAAAGGUGCAUGGCUUAACCUGCACAUUGCCUUCGAUACUGCCGCUCUUGAGUGCAGGAGAGGAUAGUGGAAUUCUCGGUGUAGCGGUGGAAUGCGCAGAUAUCGAGAGGAACACCCGUGGCGAAAGCGGCUAUCUGGCCUGACACUGACGCUAACGCGCGAAAGCAUGGGGAGCAAACAGGAUUA